GACGAACGCUGGCGGCGUGCUUAACACAUGCAAGUCGAACGGAAAGGCCCUGCUUUUGUUGGGUGCUCGUGUGGCGAACGGGGGGGAAACACGUGUGGAACCUGCCCUUCUCUGUGGGAUAACUUCAGGAAACUGGGGCUAAUACCGGAGAGGAGCUUUUGCUGCAUGUGGUGGGUUGGUAAGUUUCGGCGUUUGUGGAUGGACUCGCGGCUUAUGAGCUUGUUGGUGGGGUAGGGGCUAACCAGGGCUUUGACGGGUAGCCGGCGUGGGUGGGUGACCGGGCACAGUGGGACUGGGAUAGGGACCAGACCCCGACGGGAGGCAGAGGUGGGAAAUAUGACACAAUGACGGGAAGCGUGAGGCAGAAACGCCGCGUGCGGGAAGCUGGCUUACGGGUUGAAAACCGAUUUCGCAUGUGACGAAGACUGUGUGACGGUAACGGGUAAAGAAGCACCGGCUAACUACGUG
rnacentral:rRNA from 1 species